GAGCAGGAGAUUAAGGAGUACAGGGACCAUUUGGUUGCACAGAUGAAUCUUUGAAGUUUUAUCUACUCAUCAAUGACUUCAAGGCCCAUUACCUGCUGCCAUUUGUAAACUGGCCGGGGCUGAACAUGAAUGCUGGGUCCUCAAUUCAUAGAAGGGGUGAGACCCAGCCAAGGGAGGGUCCUGCCCGUGCCCAGCAUUCGUCUCGGGUGGGAUCUACCAUUACUGGAUGCUCAAACUUAAGAGACGACAACCAGAAGAGCCACCUUUCCAGGGCUGGGACUGACAGUCCGGAGGAAGAAAUAAUGGAGUCUAAGACAGGGUAAGUGUGAACCAGGAAAGAGAAACUUGAAGUAACUUAAAACAAUCUGUUAUAUUUUAUUGUAUCAUUAUUAGCAAAUGGAGCCAUUCACACAGUUCCAGGGACACAUUCUUUGGGAAUGUUACAGAACAACUGAAAUAUUUCUCAGUGGGAAAAGUUACAUCAUAGGAGCAACACAUAAUAUAUAUUAAUAAGAAUCAUUACUGCCAGCAGCCUUUACUAAAUAUAUUGUGGUACUUUGAAGUAAUUGUGAAAAUGAAUCAUUUUCAUUUUAAAAUGAAUAAAUUGUUAACAUCAACAAAAACAGCAAGGUGUGGAGAAGAAUGUGUUAGUGCAAAUCCAGUAAUGGAAGUUUUAUGAAAGCAAAUGCAUGGGUCCAAAGAGAGGCCCUGUUUUUUUUAAUCUGGAAGGACACAGGGCAGCCUUUGAGCAGGGGUCACCUUCAGAAUCUGCUCAAUGACUCUCUGAGCCUUCUUUGCUACAUCUGUGCUGGGUCUAUUGCCCCAUAUCCCGGGCUGUGGGCACCGUGUGAGGAGGCAGCCCUCUGCCACCUAAAGAGCCCAUGGGAAGCGAAGUCAGUGGGGACCACUGCCCAGUGCAUUGUGGAGAUGAGUGAGCAUCUUGGGAAGCAGGCCCCACUCAGCCUCCCGCUCUCUGCUUGCAUGAUCUGUGGCGAGCUGGCUCUUGCUGCUGAGCUGAAGUCUCUGCACAGAUUCUCAAAUGUGCAGAUGCUGCUGCAGCCCCCAGGUCGGGGCCUGUGAGCAGCUGGAGCUGCCCCAUGAGAUCUGAGAGCUGCCUCCCAUGAUCCUGAGCUGUGGCUGUCCUUGGAUGCCUCCAGGCUCCUGGCUGCUGCUUACACUGGCUCUGGCUGGGCUCUUGGGCAGCAGUGGCACCUCAGGAGUACUGCCACCUCCCAGGCUCUGUGUGCUCCAUGGCUGUGGGGUCACCUUCUGGGAGACUUUGCACCCUGGAUAAACUUGUAAAAACCAGUUUGUUAAGUGGGUAACUAAUUUGCCGUAGACUGAUUUUUAAAAUUUCUAUUCCCAUGGCUUUGCAGAGAAAUUUCGGCGGCAGCAGAACAUUGUACAAGUAUUAGAUUUGCAACCUGAGCCUGACUCCUGCACUCUCCUGCUUUAACCUGAUCUCCCCUGGAAUCCCUCUGCAGUGCGUCCCAACUGCACUUCUCCAUGUGCAGCUUUGGUCUUCUCUGUUACUCAUUAGAGUUGGCCCCACAUCUGCCUUUGAAGGCUCUGACAGCUGGUCUUUUGUGGAGUGGAGGCCUGGCCCUCCAGACCUAGCCCUGGGGUAACCAGAAGAGUGGAAGUGAUACUCCUUACACAGCUGGGUUUGUGAUCUGGGACUCAUACCCAUAUUCUUGCUUGUCUUUUAACUGAAGUCACACUGGACACUGAGAUAGUAAGCAUUUCUGGCAGAGAUGUAAUAGUUAGCUUUCUGUUACUGUGAAUCAGGACAAUACCCAAAAUCAGCUUAUAAGUUUCAAGGGUUUUAGUUCAUGGCAGGCAGGUCUUGUUGAGCUAGGUCUGUGGCAAGGAAGAAUAUCAUAGAGGAGGAGAGCACAUGGUGACCCAGAAGCAGAGAGAGAGAGAGAGGAAGAGACCAGAGUCCCACAAAUCCCUUCCAGCUCACACUCAGUGAUGUAUUUCCUCCUAUGAGGCCUCACUGUUUAAAGGGUUUGUUAUCUUGCAACUGUGCCAUAGAUGGGGGGCAAAACUUAAUGCACAGAUUUUUGAGAGGUGCUUCUUCAGACAAUAUCAAGAUGUAACUGUUUAUUUUUACUUUUUCUUUUUUCCAAGACCUAACUUUUAAAAAUUUAUUUGCCUGUUAAAUUUUAGAUUCUGCAGCUUUGUUGAGAACUGUCUCAUUGUCUGCACAUAGAAUUAUAAAAUUUGUAACCACUCAGCACCCAUAGGUUACGAUCUUGAGUUACGGGGGGCAAUCUGUUAUCUUAACACUCAUUUUUCCUGAGUGCAUCACUAACCUCCACCUCCCUCUACCUUUGGCCAUCACAGGUAAUUUCCAAUGGCAGACUAAUCCCGCAUGUUUUCAUUCCCGCUUUGGAAUAUGUGAUACUUGUUUAUUACUGCAUUUCCCCUUAGUAGGCUUCACCUAGUUUUGUAUUCGAGCCUUGAGAAUAUGACUUCUUUUUUUCUCACCUUUUCACGGGGUUGGCUGCCAACAGCUGUGGAAUGAGACACCUGCAGGAAUAGUUCUGGGGGUGUCUGUACUGGCGGGCGUAGGGGGCUGGGGAAGCAGGAAGCUCUUCCCAGGUCAGAGACGGGGCAGCAGGUGGCAAAACUGGCCCCCAGCAACUUGGGGGCUCCUCAUCCUUGCCCUCAGUGCCCCUGAAGCCCUGGCUUUGCAUGGACACAGUGGCCUUUGACAGGCCAGCUUUGUUCUGGUUCAGCAUUGCUGCUUUGCUGUUGGCCACACGCUGGCCUCGCCCACCCCCAGUGGUCAGCAGCAAGGGCGUCAGCUCCUUGGCGACCCUGUCACCAGUGCUGUCACCAGGGAAGGCAGGACCUCUGGACUGGCUCCCUCGCCCUGCUGGCACCUGUCCUAGUUCCCUGGCAUGUAGGACCCUGUUGUGUCUCUUCCUGGGAUAACCUGGGAGGCCAGCCAGCUGGUCACACAGGGAAGCAGAAGGAGACAGGUGGAGGCAGGAACUGCAGCAAGCAGGGAGGCUUCCCGGAGGAGGCGGCAUCACCAAUGGGCUUACUGAAUGGACCGGAUUUGGCAGCUUGUGAGCUGGCAGGGGAAGCCAGGGAGGAGGCUAGCAGGUGGGUGUGGGGAGGCCCAGCACGGGCAGGGUCAGCGGAGUGCGGUGCAGCCCAGGAGGAGCCCAGCCAGUAGGAGGUUUAGAGGCCAAAUCCAGACGUUUUCUUUGAUGCAGGACUGGGUGAACCUGGGCUUUGGCCGCUUCAGCUAAAUAAAACCGUCACUGUGAUUUUAAAACCCCAGUGGCCCUUGUUCCACUGCAAUGGCAACUAAUUAUGGGUUGUAACUGUCUCAGCACAGGGAGCUGUGUUGCACCAGAGCAGCAGCCUUGUGACAGGGCUCCUCUGGUGUCCCCAGCACUCUGCCCCAAGCCACGUGCCUGGUGGGGACACAGGGCACAGAGGGGCGUGCACCAGGCCGGGGCACUCCUGGGACUCUCUGGCAUGUAGAUGGACAUUCUGAGUCAUUGUGGACAGGUCACGUAGUCUUCUGAGCCCCAGCUUCCCCGUGGGUGACGUGGGGACAGGCAGUCCCCACCCCAUGGGGCGAGAGGACAGGCGAAGCCGUGCAGCUGUGUGGGGCGGACACGACACGUAGCAGGCUCAGGAGGCAAGGCCCCUCCCCUGCCCACCCCAGCCCCGUGUGACUGCACCGAGGUCACGUCCACAGCUGACCCAGUGACCUCGUGUUCCGGCCCCCUGGGAGGCUGAGGCAGGAGGAUUGUAAGUUGGAGCCCAGCCUGGAUGAUUCUACAACACUCUGUCUGUAAGUAAACAAAUAAAAAGAACUCAGGGUAUGGCUCAGCAUGAAGGUCCUGGGUGCAGUCCUAGGAAUCCAAAGAAACAUCAGAGAGAGACAGAGACAGAGAGAGAGAGAGAGAGAGAAAGAGAGAGAGAGAGAGAGAGAGACAGAGAGAGGCAGAGAGAGAGAGAGACAGAGAGAGAGAGAGACAGAGAGAGAGAGAGACAGAGAGAGGCAGAGAGAGACAGAGACAGAGAGACAGAGAGAGAGGCAGAGAGAGACAGAGACAGAGAGACAGAGAGAGAGGCAGAGAGAGAGACAGACAGACACAAAGACAGAGACAGAGACAGAGAAAUAAAAUCAGAGAGACAGAGAGAGACCAAUCACGUCCAGGUAGUGGCCUCAGUGGCCAUGCCCUCUGCUCCCUCAGUGACGUCUGUGGCCAUGCCCUCUGCUCCUGCAGAGAAAUCUGAUGGCCUGCAGUUCCAGGGUCACCGAGAGAUCCAGGUGUGUCCUGGUCACUGUGCCUGACUGACCACAUAGAGAUGCGAAUGCUGACCCCUCCAGCCAGGCUUGGUUUCUGUGCCAGCUUGGUUCCCUGGGGCUCAUGGAUGGUGUGGGUUCCCUCUGUCCCUCUUCCCGUGGCCCUGGAGGAGCAGCUGUGGCCGCCCUGUGCCCCAGCCUCACUGCCUGAGGCCUCGUCAAUAUUUCAUAGUAUCUGAGUGCAGGCGCUUGAUUUAUGGCCCAGAGGCUUCAGGGACAUGCCUAUCUGUGGUAGCAGACUGGGGCCAGGACUCCAGCUCUGCUUCAGAGCCCCUCCAGGGCCCUGCUGGAGGUGUCCUGUACUUGGAAUUUGUCUCCAGCCCCUUUUUUACUGGAUCCUACAGUUAAAAAACCAUACAUAGCAUUCCUGGUAACUAGGAAGUUGCUGGUAACCUUUCCAUGAAAUUGAGACAUUUGUUCUUUAUUUUUUUGUUUUUGCAUCUUUCCUCUUUAUCUGCCUGGAAUACAGAUGUGAUGGUUGGAGCUCCAGCAUCUAUUAUGGGCCUACAUAGGCCCAUAGUAGGUAUCUUGAGCAGAGGUAUAGCAAAAGUCAAGGCCCUGUAGACUUUGUGGAAACCAUCCUUCCAGCCCCCGGGCUGCUCACUUUUAGAUUUGACAUCUGAAAGAGAUAAAAAAAACUUUCAUUUGUUUUCCCUAUCAUAGCUGGAUUCCUGUAGCUGUUGGUCAAAUUAAAUCCCAACCAAAAUUCUCUGCUGCUCUUAGCAUAGCUGGUGGUCUCAGCCUCCCUCACUGGCCUGGGUGCUUUUGUGCCUCCUCACCCUGCACCCUUAGCAACCAAGGGCACCCUGCGCUCAUCACUGCCAGAAGCACUGAGUGACUAUUUCUGAAUGAAUGAAUUCAUCCCCAUGAGGCCUCGGUGUCAGCAGGGCCCUGUGAGGAGGGUGAACCCAGCAGUGGCUCUGUCACAGCUGUGAGAAGCACCUGUAGCUUCUGGAACAAGGACCUUUGUCUCCCAGCAACUCGAUGCCUCAAUAGUAUCAUUUUAUAAUAGAACUUAAAAUUGGUGAGGAGCAAAGACACUGAAAAAGAAACCAGCAUUCUCCUUUGAGUCUUGGUUCCGCACUGGCGCUUUUUUUUCUGGACAGCGAGGCUCCUGUGAGCAUUUGCAGCCUGCCCCAGCCCAGAUCUUAGCUCGAGCUCCCCUUUUAUUAAAGGCUGGACUGAACUACCAUUUCUCCACACAGACGCACAGCUGGCCUGCUCUGCCCCCAGCUGGGCUUUGAGUUCGAAUGCUGCUCUGUGGAGCCGCUUGGUGCCUACAGCUUUCUCUGUGUGUGCGAUUUUGCCCUUUGCUUGAGUCUCAGAAGUAGGGUUAUUUGAUCAAAGGAGCUAAAGAGGAGUCAGUGUGGGGUGAGGGGACCUGAGAGGGGAAGGGAGCCCCAGUCACGCUACUUUUCUCUACCCUUAGUUCCCCCAGGGGAAGCCGAGCAGGUCCAAACCGAGGGUUCGCAGUUCUGCCGACGCUUAGGGAAUGAAACCUGUGACAUCCACCAGGACACAGGGACAUGAUGUGCCCUGGGCCCGUGCACGCAGUUCACAAGAACUGGCCUUCGCCAUGUGGAAGUGGGACAGCAGAGCGGCCGAGCCCUCCUCCUCUGACUUCAAGGCACAGCAGCGUUUCUUCCCCAGUUCCUAGCAGUCUUGUGCCUGAUGGUGCCUUUCCUUCUCUCCCAGAUGGAGGAGGUGUCUGUAUCCCUGGGUUCCCAGGGCCUGCCUCCUGAGAAGCAGAGUCACCUCUGUAGGUUGAGGCAGGAGAAUGAGGGUGAUCACUCUAACGCUGCCCCAGAGCUGCUGCAGGCCAUUGAGAAGUCUGAGCCCCCAUGCGAGUAAAUCACCCCUGUGAAUGACAGGAGAUGCCACUUACGCUCUGUGCUAGGGGCCCCGGCCCUCUGCUCCAUGGCUCACAGCAUUGCACCACUGGCUCUCAGAUCUGCGGGAUUUAGUUCAAGGGUCCACAGAAGGCCCCAGAAUCUGUGAACACCCAAGACCCUCACAUUAAGUUGUGAGCAUUUUCACACCACCUACACAUACCCUCUAGGAUGCUUUUAAUCAGCUCGACCACUGUGCAAAUGCCAGGUGGUUGUCACUGUGUGCUGCUUAGGGAAUAAUGACAGGGAAAAUACAGUUGUUACUACAGGUGCAAUUCUAUUUUCAAAUAUUUCCAUCUGUGGCUGGUUGUAUUUGUGCAUGCAGAAUCCUUGGCUAGUGAGGGGUUGGCUGUUUUUAUUUCCAUUUCUGUGCCUCACAGCACAAUGGCAUCUAGAGGACAGGGGUUUGCUGUGACCAGGGGUGGCUGGGAUGCAGCCGACUCUUUCCCUAUCCUAAGCGAAGGAGGCAAAGGGUGUCCCUGAGAUGGGAACAAGGCUGGAGCUGGGACAGGAGGGGGGCAGCCCGAGCAAGCCCUGUGGCAGGGCCCCGGUGUGCUCAGGUCACAGGGUGCUGGCCUGCACGCAGGAGGCUGAAGCCCGCCUGGUAUUGGCGAGGGUCAUGGGAGCCAUGGAUGAAGGGGACUGGUGCAGAAGGCGGAGCCCUGAACCCUGAUGGUGCCCUGUGCACCUGCUGAGCAUCGGCCUCUGCAUUCAUUGCUCCUCCAGAUCUUUUGGAGCAUCUGCUCUGUGUUGGGCUCUGUGUUCAUGGAUGGGAAAGAGAGCUUCAGCCUGGCUGGGGCCACAGCACUUCGGGGCGCAUUGGUCCCCGGGAUGGGAGUGGAGGUGGCUGGAAGUGUGAGUGAGACAUGAGGGGCAUGGCCAGAGCAACAGGCAGAGGUGGCAUUGGGUCACCCAGGGUGUCUGAGCCCCUACAAGGCCUGCUGGCUUGUCACUGGGUUCUGUGGGCAUCUGUGAACCACCACUCUGCAGCUCUGCAUGAGAGCAGAGCCGGAGAGGUAGACAGGGACAAUCAGGCACUGCAGGUGCCCUUUCCUGGGCAGAGGUUUGGGUAGGGCUGGAGGGCAGGGCUGGGAUUGGAGCCUGGGGAGGUUGCUUCCAUAUGAGAAAAUGUCAGGGAGACCCAGACAGUGAAUUUCAACUGGAUCUGGAUACCCGGGUCAAGUCUAGGUGACAGACCUGACCAGGGAAGGGAGUGUGCAAAUUUAGGGUCCACCCCUGGACCUUUGAUUGCCUAAGAGCUGAGUGAUCGGUAAAAGCCUUUGGGAGCCUCUUGUCAUGCGGUAGCUAUAAUCUCCUCCCUCUAAUCCUAGCACUGAAAUUGAGAGGCAGGACAACAGCAGAGCUCACAGGGACAAAGCUGUUUCUUAGGAGCGGAGCAGUAGGCGGGCCCUGUUGCCAGCUCUCCUUGAGGUCUGGUUUUGACAUAGCUGAUGACUUGUCGCCAUGACAGUGCUCCUCAUUGUGGAAGGAAAACAGGAAAUAGGUGGACCCCUUGGAGCAAGUGCGGAGCAGAGCUGCUUCCUGCCCUUCAGCCUGGCGUGGACUGUGAAAGACUGAAAAUCCACCAGGCUUUCGCUGAACCCAGCACUGUCACCUUUUCAAAUCUCACCAUCAUGGUUAACUUUCCCAUGUGAACAACUACCAAGUCACUAUCACCAUCUGCGCUGCAAUCAAUGUCACCAGCACCAGCCACUGUCAACCACACCCUCAAUGGCCCCCAGGUCACAAGCAGCAGGGGAGCAGGGUGAAGUCCCCCCCAUUUGGAUGACUCUGGGCAUCUUUCUCAGCUUCCAUGGGUGCAGCAGACAUAUGUGCCCAGAGCAGGUGAGAGGGGCGGAAAUCAGUGUUGUUUCCCCCACUCCCCUGGAAAUGCUCUUAUCAUGGUCAUCAAUGACCUCUGUAAUUGUCAUGUGAUAUUUGCCUCCAGGAGCCUUUGAUGACCUGACUGCUUCCUCCCCAGGCUCUGUGAUACUCAGUUUUUGAGUUUCCUUUCAACUCUGACCCGCCCUCCUUUGCUGGCUCUGUUUCUGCUACCGGACCUCUGUAUCUUCGAGUCUUCCAGAGCUUGGACGCAGCCUCUUCUUUCUCCAUCCAGGCUCCCUAACUGCUUUCUCCAUAGGCCACACAUCUAUCCUGCCUCCCUGCUGUGCUAUACUAAUCUUGAGCCACAAGUGCAGUUAGGAAGCGACCUUGGGGCAUGCUGGGAAUCCCCUGAGGAAACAGAGAUCCUUCUGUGAUGAAAAGCAAUCUUUUGAAGCCAUCCUGGGUAGUUUCUUGCAGGAAGUUUGGGGUUUCCAUCCCUUCUAUUGGGUCUAUACUGACUCAGAUGGCCAAAGCCCUCAAGUUCUUUGCACCCCCAAACAUGUCCUCCCUGAGACAUCAGUGACACGGUCCCCAUCGCCUUGGCUUCAGGUAGCAGAGACCUAAGCCGAGUGCUGGAGAGAGGACUCCAGCUAGUGGCUGUGGACAUUUGUAGGAUGCUUUCCUGGAAACCCCAAAAUAGUGUCCCUUUGGGGGUUACUGUUCCCAUACGCAUGCUGGAGGCCCGUUCUGACAGAUGGUCCCCGUUGGGCUGUUCUCACAUGCACAAGCAGAGGAAUUCAUUUGGGUCCUCUUGGCCUCAGGAGCAUUUGGAAUCAGAUGCCAGAAGAAACAGAUUGCUUCCCCUUAUUCUGGGGGUGUGGGUGGAUGGUUUGAGAGGAGACUCUUCCAAGAAUGUGUUUUCCCUUCCACACUCAGGAUGCGAUCCUGUCUGCUCUUUUGGGGCUGGCAGAAGCCUGAGUUGCUUUGGGGGUAGCGUCUGUACUGCCUCGGCCCCUGCUGCUCAGAAGCGGGGGCGGGGGUGGGUGAGUAACUUUUGGCAGGGUCCUUUGCGCCCUGUGCAUCAGGUUACCCAAAUGGUACUACCACCACCUGGUCCCCACUGCCAGAUUAAUGUUCCUAAAAUAGCUCAGUGCGACAGGGCCAUUCCCUUGCUCAAGAACCAUCCAGCAUUUUCUGCUGCCCACAGGACAGUCUUGGGCUUCGCCCUCACACUCCAGAUCCCUACCAUCUGGCCUCCCUUGGCUUUGCCAACCACAUCCCUCUCCUUCUCUACACAAGGGCACCCUCCUUUCGCAGGGUGUGCCAGGACCUUGGCCGAAACCACAUCACGCCCCUGGUUCGGUGCCCUCUCUCCCGCCUCGCAGCCUGUCUACACCACUGCCCUUCUUCUGCUGGCCUGACCUUGCAAGGCUGUCCACCUUCUGCUUUGAUUCCUCCGUUCAUUCUCCUCCUGGCCCUGUGUGAUCACUGAGAGGUCCCCUGGCAACUUCUCCUCUGCAGGAGGCUUUAGGGACGGAGAGGCUACUUGCUAGGGUGUGCUCAGGGAGUGGGAGCACUUCCAGGGUUCAGUGAGGACCCAGUGCUGGGCAUGGUGGAGCUAUCCCCUCCCCCAGCCCUGUAGAAGCAUAGACAGUAGCUUCUAAGGGACCCCGAGAAGACCGUGGCAGGGGAAGCCAAAGGAUACGGCCUUCCAGGAAAAGCUAUGAUCGGCUGGGGGAGCCGUUCAGGAGGAGGACCUGCCUCACGCUUUCUCCUCCCCUUCCCUGCUCAGUCCUGGCACUGAUCAAGUCCACUUGGAAGCCAGAGAGAAGGGUGGGAGACUCUUAGUAUCUGUGAAGAAUCUGAAGGGUAUGUAGGGCAAGGGUGGGGGAGAUUCCAUCUCCUAGCUUAGGUUUCAGUGGCCAAGUAGCGAGCGUUCCCGAUGUCACAAAUGUGGCCAUUCUCAGGAUCAAGCUGUUCAGUGUCACUUCCAGUAGGACAACGGGAGCCCAGAGCAGAUUUCUGCUGAUCCGAGACCACGCUGUGCACUGAUGUUAGAUGUGAGACAGGGCAGGUGUGAGCCCACAGCUCAGAGCCAGCCGGUCUAUUGGAACAGACUUCCUGGUAAGUUACACACCAGGAGCCUUAGCUGAGGCCUUCCUGGCUGUGCUGGCCGCAUGGUGGCCCAGGUGGCAUGCGCAUGUGUGUGCGUAGGUGUGUGUGUUGUGCAUUUUAAGGGGAAAGAUCCAGAGUAGUAUCUGAAAGCGCUUUAUCUCCAAACUCAGAAGCACAGUGGACCCUAAGCAGCCCGGGGACCCUGUAGGAACACGAGAGGAAAGCUGCCAACCACGCAGCCCUCCACUCCUUCUGCUCCUUCAUCCAGUCUCCCCCUGUAAUGGACGAUCAAGGCAGUGGUACAGGGUUACGUAUCUUCCAAACACUUGUAGUAGCUACUGUUUAUAUCCCACAGCAGACUCACAAAGAGCAAGGCAGGGGUCCCUCCCUUCAGUCUUCAGGUGAGGGAGCAGACCCGAGGGGUCCAAUAAGUGCCCAAGGACCCGCCGUGGAAAGUAAUAAAGGCAAACUGUAGACUCAACUCCGAAGACCAUGCCGCUCGCCUUUUGUGGUACUGGGAAUUGAACCCAGGGCUUUGUACUGAGCUGCAUCCCCAAUUCUUUCGUAUUUUAUAUUUUGAGUCAAGGUCCUAGGCUAGUCUUGAUUGUGUGUUCCUCCUGACUCAGCCUCCCAGAGGCCUGAGAUUACAUGUAUGCACAAUCACCUGGCUCGCCAAACCCUUUCGGUUGUACCAUAUUUGGUCUCUCCUUCAGCAGAGGUUUCCAUUCUCUGAGGCUUUUCUGAUUGUUCUCUCUCCUGUCAGCUCUUCCCUUUCCUCAUGUCUGUCUUAUGCUUCUUCAUCUCCAUCUCUCCUCUCCUCUCCUUUCUUCUUUGCCUUCUCUCUGCUUGUUAGAAAAGUCAUGGCCUCUCUCUGGUUUUACCUACAGCACGUUUCCAGGGGAGUUCUUCCAGCUUCUUGGUACCCAGUGACCACAUGUAGGCAGAUGUGUCAGGCGACCAUGCAUCCACGGGACAGAAAAUAACUGAGUGGCUUUCUGCUUCUUGCCCCAACCAAGGAGCGAUUUGCAGACAGUACACAGAAAUUAUAAGCACCAGAAGUCAUUGAGCAAUCUUUCUUUGAACCAAUUAGAUUCUGACAUCUGCUUACUGUUUAAUUAUCUUCUGACUGAGGAAAUGGAAAAGUUGACAAAUAGUUUAACCCCACAAGAGUCAGGUUCCUUAUUUUUCCCCCUUCGUGAGCAUGUUUACAGAACAUCAAUGUGCCCACAUCUCCUGGUCUCUCUGGGAUAGGGGCAAAAAAAAAAAAAUAUAGACAAACAUUUAUAUUCUGCGAGCUCAAGAUGGUUUUUAUAUUUUUUUCAUGUUUAACUGAUCUCAAAUGAACGACAAUGGCUCUUAAUGUGGUUACAAGAAUUUGCCAUUAAUUUUCACUUGAAAUUGGAUCCAGCUGGUAUAUAUGCCCAGCUCGUGUUCUAGUUCUUAAUGGUUUGCCUUCCAAAACCUGGGCCACUUCCCACUGGCUGACUGGCACAGCUUAAGCGGGGGCAUUCGUCUCCUAUUACAUGUGAACAGAAAUUAAGUUGAGAAUAUCAGUCCUCUUUUGGAGCUCUUUGUAAAUGGCAUUGGAGGGUGGGGAGCUGGGUGAAGGGUGCCAGAGGAAUGCAGGCUUGGUGCCCCAGUUCUCCUCAGUGGCAAAGCUGCUAGCUCCAGCUCCAUGCAGGAGCUGUGACUGAGCUGCCAGAGGACAUGGAAGUGUGACUCAAGGUCUCAGAGCAGUCAGAAAGCUUUCUGGUGUCUUCUAGCUUGGUUUUCGAGUGCAUCUGGAUGAUCCUGGAAGUUCUUUGUGAGUUUCUAGCCAGCCUCAAACAUUGAUGUGGAUAGAAGAAAAGGGACACAACAUGAAGGGAAAAGUUGACUCAGAGAGCGAGAAUUCUCCACCUUUGGAGCAUCAUUGAAUCUUGGUGAUCUCAGUUUCUGUUCAACCCAUGUAACCAUAUAAUUUAUUGAACACUUACAUGGGAAGUAAAUAUUAAACUAGAUGGAAUGUUGAGAAAAACCAGGGACAAAGUCAGCCUAGGAAUAAAGAAAAUAGGGGUAUUAGACCUCGUGGGCAGGAGUAAAUGGUAAGUAGGUUCCACGUCCCUAUGGAUGCUAGGAAUGCUACAACUUCCUUGUGAUGGAGGAAGAAAAUGUAGCUGCUUCCCAAGUACAAUAAGAGUGCUCCUUGAUUGAUUAGCAAUGUCUGCCCUGGUCACAGGGAGGGACUGCUAUAUUCAAGGCAAGAAUUUACCAUUCCUGGAUUGGAUGGCCUUUCAGUUCUAUUUUUGUAAUAAGAAAUAAGUGAACGAGGCUCACUUACCCUGGCAGUGUCUCUCACUUGGAGUGGGUACAACGUGCAGACUCUGAAUUAGUGGAUCCAGGGCUCCCAGGUGAGGUAGACUUUGAACAGCAAAGACUAGAGGCAGCACUUGAACUCGAGCCAGCGUCCCUCCACUGCAGGCUUAGCAGCCUGCAGGAGGGUCUACGUGCUCCUUUCCAAGGAUUUUUCCACAGGUCAAUUAAUUUAUUCCUCCAGACAGCCUUUGAUGUUGGCUGGAUCACUUCCUACCCCACCCCAUCCCCUUCUAAAUGUGUUUUGCAUGUGCAGCGGGCUUCUAUGCCCAGCCUACAAUCUGUAAUGACAGAGCUGAGGCUCACAUCUGAGGCUUUUUCCAGUGCUGGGCUGGGCCCUUGAGCGCCUGACUUACCAGCCUCAUCAGAGACCAGAAGUUACAGGUGUCUUUGGCUGCCAUGGGGCAGCCAGGCGAAGGGGUUGCAUGGAGGGAGCACGUCAUCCCUGGUCUCACCUUUCCACGUGGUCAUUAAGGCAGGUACCAACCAGCUCCUGGCCCUGGAUUCAUGGGGCUGAGCCUUCCUUGACUCUAUGAAAGUUGUAAAGCCAGGGUGACCUGGGUUGGAUUAUCACAUUACUCAGCCUUGAGCACACAACUCACCUUCCAGAGUCCCUGCACCUGUUAAAAAGGGGACGCUAAACAUUCUUCCCAUAGAGGCUGGCUAGAAGCUGAAAAUAAACACCGGAGUGAAAUGAGCGACAUAUUUAAUUUCCUCCUUCGCCUUCUAAGGAAGGGAAUGAGUUAGCUGUUGCUCUCUUUCCGCACAUGUAAGCAUCUAGAAUCUCCUUGAUUCGACAGCAUCCUCACAGAACUGGAUUCAGGGUUUAGUGGGGUGCCUUCCCUGUAGACAAUAAAAUAGGCAAGUGUAUCCAUUACUGGAGAGCAUUCUUGCCUGAUAUAACAGACAACUCAUUGAACAAACUUCAAAACUUAUUCUGCAAAACAUGUCGGUGCCAGGCACUAAGCAGGCAACACAGAUAUGCUUGAAAAUUAGAAGUGAACUUCAAAUGUCUCUGCUGUGACUUGGCGUUAGUGAAAUCAUCGCCAGGGAAGUAGCAGCGGCUCCGACAGCCCCCUCCCUGGAAAUGCCAGCCAAGCGCCCACGUUCUCUUGGCUAAGAAGACAGCAGAGGUCAACAUGCUGUCCCAGGAGCUGCCAGAGAAUAGCCCUGAUCUCAGCACACAGAGCUCUGCCAGCGUGCCACGCUCCGUUCAAAUGGCAUCUGGUGCAAGCGAUGUAUUAGCAGCAUAUUUUUUCUAAAAUAGAGAAAAAUCUGAAUUAUGCAGGGAGAAAAUUGACAAGUACGGCUCUCCUGUGCUAUGUGUAUGCUUACAUACUGUGUAAUAUGUCCUCGAGUUUGCUUAGCCAAUAAGGGUCUAAGAGGUGGGAUUUGAAUGUCCCUGUCUGACAGGCAGAAGCGGUUGGUACUGCGGAGGUCACUUGACCCUAAGCCAAUGGACUUGAAUAUUAAUGGGAUUUUCCUCAUGUGGUUGCCAUGGAAGCUGAAGUGGAGUUAUAGUCAAGUGUAGCUUGUAUUUAUUUAGACUUAAAAAACAAAGUUUAUUUCAAAUGAUUACUCAAAAAAUUAUGUUACCUGAAACAUUGAACAGAUUUCAUGUAAGCUCCUCCAGGCACAUAACUCAAACUGUCAAACGAAAAUAGCUCUGUGGGCUUAACUGCUUUUAAUAAUGAAACUAUAAAGAGGAGCUAUGUUGGUGCCCCCCCAAUAAUUUGGGAGCCACUUAGGCCUGGAAAUAGUUAAUAUUCAGAAAAAAAGCAUGAAACACUAAGAUUGGCCCCAGCUUCCCACCUACCCAAGCCAGCUGCUCACGUCCCCUUCUCUGCCCCUUCUCUCCUAGGCCUCUCCUCUCCUCCUCUUCUGUUUCUCUUGGCCCCUCUGACUGUAUCAGUCCUUCUCCUUCUCCCGGAAGAUGCAGCCUAGACCUGCAUCUGUUGGGGGUCUGGUAGGAAACAGGGCUGGCAUCCCAGGUCAUGAUCUGCUGUUUUGAAGAAAUCCUUUCCUGUGUCUUCCAACACUGCUCGUCUCAUUUGCUUCCGACCAAACUGUGCCCGAAGGAAGUCCGAGGAGAAAUGCACUGCUUUGACUUGAAUGCAUCCUCUAGAACCAGCCCCAAAUCCGUGUGUGGAUGGUGCUUGGAAGUGAUAGAGUUGGAUGAGGUCAUGAAGGCUCAGACUGACUUUAAAGGGAGCCGCAGGUGGCAUGCACCACCCUGGGGAGCUCACAGCGCGUGACCAUCCACGAUGUCAUCCGUCCUUGAACAGCGUGGAGAGGCCCGGGGAGCCCAGCACUGUGAUCUCCCCUCCUCCGGACCUAGGCUCCAGCGCUGAACUUCACCGUGCGCAGUAGUCGUGCCCACCUGCGGGGUGUGGUGUGGUGACCAGCUGCGUGUCUAGCGCACGUGAUGAUCAUGACAGAGGGUGAGCUUUUCUCCCUCUUUCACUGUUGAUGACUUCUUGUGUCCCUUAGUUCUGUAUAAAAUAUGAUAAUAAAUCAUAUGAGCUGCUGCCAGCCCACGGUGCCCGUGUCACCUUCCUAAUUCUCCCAAGAGCUUGGCUCUUUCUUGCUGGAGUACAUGGGAUAAACAUCUGAGAACCUCAGAACCAAAAUGCCUUGGCAGGCGAAUUUUCUAGGGUUCAAGAGAGAAGCAGCAGCCUUUCCAGGGUCCAUUCCUGCUUGCUUCCACGGAGGCAAAGCCACGGCUCUGGUCCCCUCUUUCGGGAGCCUCUUGGACAAGGUGUGUUGCCACGAGUGCGCUCUCCAUGUGGCCUGACCCCUCUUGUGUGCUGUAUGCAUCACAGCCAGAGUCCAAAGUGGUGAUGGCAGCAGUUGUCAUGGAAAUGUAUCUGCCUUCCUCAGAAGUGACCGUGCAGAUGCCAUUCUUGAAGAAAAAUGACUUUCUGCUCUCUCUCUCUCUCUCCACACACACCUCAAAAAUCUUAAGAAUAAAUGAUAU